UGCUUGCACCGAGAUUCAACAUGGAACGAGUGGCGGACGGGUGAGUAACACGUGGGUAACCUGCCCUUAAGUGGGGGAUAACAUUUGGAAACAGAUGCUAAUACCGCAUAGAUCCAAGAACCGCAGGGUUCUUGGCUGAAAGAUGGCGUAAGCUAUCGCUUUUGGAUGGACCCGCGGCGUAUUAGCUAGUUGGUGAGGUAAUGGCUCACCAAGGCGAUGAUACGUAGCCGAACUGAGAGGUUGAUCGGCCACAUUGGGACUGAGACACGGCCCAAACUCCUACGGGAGGCAGCAGUAGGGAAUCUUCCACAAUGGACGCAAGUCUGAUGGAGCAACGCCGCGUGAGUGAAGAAGGCUUUCGGGUCGUAAAACUCUGUUGUUGGAGAAGAAUGGUCGGCAGAGUAACUGUUGUCGGCGUGACGGUAUCCAACCAGAAAGCCACGGCUAACUACGUGCCAGCAGCCGCGGUAAUACGUAGGUGGCAAGCGUUAUCCGGAUUUAUUGGGCGUAAAGCGAGCGCAGGCGGUUUUUUAAGUCUGAUGUGAAAGCCCUCGGCUUAACCGAGGAAGCGCAUCGGAAACUGGGAAACUUGAGUGCAGAAGAGGACAGUGGAACUCCAUGUGUAGCGGUGAAAUGCGUAGAUAUAUGGAAGAACACCAGUGGCGAAGGCGGCUGUCUGGUCUGUAACUGACGCUGAGGCUCGAAAGCAUGGGUAGCGAACAGGAUUAGAUACCCUGGUAGUCCAUGCCGUAAACGAUGAAUGCUAGGUGUUGGAGGGUUUCCGCCCUUCAGUGCCGCAGCUAACGCAUUAAGCAUUCCGCCUGGGGAGUACGACCGCAAGGUUGAAACUCAAAGGAAUUGACGGGGGCCCGCACAAGCGGUGGAGCAUGUGGUUUAAUUCGAAGCAACGCGAAGAACCUUACCAGGUCUUGAC
rnacentral:rRNA from 1 species